UGGCGGCGUGCUUAACACAUGCAAGUCGAACGGAAAGGCCCGUUCGGGGUACUCGAGUGGCGAACGGGUGAGUAACACGUGGGUGAUCUGCCCUGCACUCUGGGAUAAGCCUGGGAAACUGGGUCUAAUACCGGAUAUGAUCAUGCGCCUCAUGGUGUGUGGUGGAAAGCUUUUGCGGUGUGGGAUGGGCCCGCGGCCUAUCAGCUUGUUGGUGGGGUAAUGGCCUACCAAGGCGACGACGGGUAGCCGGCCUGAGAGGGUGACCGGCCACACUGGGACUGAGAUACGGCCCAGACUCCUACGGGAGGCAGCAGUGGGGAAUAUUGCACAAUGGGCGCAAGCCUGAUGCAGCGACGCCGCGUGGGGAUGACGGCCUUCGGGUUGUAAACCUCUUUCAGUACCGACGAAGCGUAAGUGACGGUAGGUACAGAAGAAGCACCGGCCAACUACGUG
rnacentral:rRNA from 1 species